UACGUAGGGUGCGAGCGUUGUCCGGAAUUAUUGGGCGUAAAGGGCUCGUAGGCGGUUUGUCGCGUCGGGAGUGAAAACCAGGUGCUUAACACCUGGCUUGCUUUCGAUACGGGCAGACUAGAGGUAUGCAGGGGAGAACGGAAUUCCUGGUGUAGCGGUGAAAUGCGCAGAUAUCGGGAAGAACACCCGUGGCGAAGGCGGCACUCUGGGACGGUACUGACGCUGAGACGCGAAAGCGUGGGGAGCGAACGAGGA
rnacentral:rRNA from 1 species